rnacentral:rRNA from 1 species
UAGGGAAUAUUGCACAAUGGGCGAAAGCCUGAUGCAGCAACGCCGCGUGCGCGAUGAAGGCCCUCGGGUCGUAAAGCGCUUUUCUGCGAGAUGAGAAAGGACAGUAUCGCAGGAAUAAGUCUCGGCUAACUACGUGCCAGCAGCCGCGGUAAAACGUAGGAGGCGAGCGUUAUCCGGAUUCACUGGGCGUAAAGCGCGUGCAGGUGGUUUGGUAAGUUGGGCGUGAAAGCUCCCGGCUCAACUGGGAGAGGUCGUUCAAUACUAUCAGGCUAGAGAGCAGAAGAGGAAGAUGGAAUUCCCGGUGUAGUGGUGAAAUGCGUAGAUGUCGGGAGGAACACCAGUUGCGAAGGCGGUCUCUUGGUCCGAUACUGACGCUGAGGCGCGAAAGCGUGGGGAGCAAACAGGAUUAGAAACCCGGGUAG